rnacentral:miRNA from 1 species
CAGCCGUGAUUUGCCGCUCUGU